rnacentral:rRNA from 1 species
AAUCUUCCGCAAUGGACGAAAGUCUGACGGAGCGAUGCCGCGUGAGUGAUGAAGGCCUUAGGGUUGUAAAGCUCUUUCGUUGGGGAAGAUAAUGACUGUACCCAAAGAAGAAGCCCCGGCUAACUUCGUGCCAGCAGCCGCGGUAAUACGAAGGGGGCUAGCGUUCUUCGGAACUACUGGGCGUAAAGCGCGCGUAGGCGGACCAGCCAGUCGGGGGUGAAAUCCUGGGGAUUAACUCCAGAACUGCCUCCGAUACUGCUGAUCGUGAGGUCGGGAGAGGUGAGUGGAACUGCGAGUGUAGAGGUGAAAUUCGUAGAUAUUCGCAAGAACACCAGUGGCGAAGGCGGCUCACUGGCCCGAAUCUGACGCUGAGGCGCGAAAGCGUGGGGAGCAAACA